AGGGCGCAUGGCGGAUGCCUUGGCUCUCGGAGGCGAUGAAGGACGUGAUAAGCUGCGAUAAGCUUUGGGGAGGUGCAAAUGACCUUUGAUCCAGAGAUUUCCGAAUGGGACAACCCAAUAUCUUGAAGAGGUAUUAUCCAACGUUGUUGGAGGCUAACGCAGGGAACUGAAACAUCUUAGUACCUGCAGGAAAAGAAAAUAAACAAUGAUUCCCCCAGUAGUGGCGAGCGAACGGGGAACAGCCCAAACCAUCCAUGUUACGGCAUGGGUGGGGUUGUAGGACUACGCCGUUGCAUGAAGACAUCAGAGAAGAACUUUCUGGAAAGAAAGACCAUAGAGCAUGACAGUUGCGUAUUCGAAUGUUGUCGAAGCAUAGUAGUAUCCUGAGUAGCGCGGAGCACGAGGAAUUCUGCGUGAAUCUGCCGGGACCAUCCGGUAAGGCUAAAUACUCCCGAGAGACCGAUAGCGAACCAGUACCGUGAGGGAAAGGUGAAAAGCACUUCGAACAGAAGAGUGAAAUAGUUCCUGAAACCGUGCGCCUACAAGCGGUCGGAGCUCGUUAAUGAGUGACGGCGUGCCUUUUGCAUAAUGAACCUACGAGUUGCCUUUGCCGGCAAGGUUAAGUGUGACGACACACGUAUCCGAAGCGAAAGCGAGUCUGAACAGGGCGUAUAGUCGGCAGUGGCAGACGCGAAACCAAGUGAUCUACCCUUGGCCAGGUUGAAGGCUGGGUAACACCAGCUGGAGGACCGCACCAAUAAGCGUUGAAAAGCUUCUGGAUGAGCUGAGGGUAGGGGUGAAAGGCUAAUCAAACUUGGAGAUAGCUCGUACUCCCCGAAAUGCAUUUAGGUGCAGCCUUGCGGGUUACUGAUGUGAGGUAGAGCGACUGAUAAGAUGCGAGGGCUUCACCGCCUAUCAAGUCUUGACAAACUCCGAAUGCGCAUCAGUUCUACCGCAGGAGUGAGGGCAUGGGUGCUAAGGUCCGUGCCCGAGAGGAGAAGAAUCCGGACCACCUGCUAAGGUCCCGAAAUGACAGCUAAGUUAAACUAACGAAGUCUGACUGCUAAGACAGCUAGGAUGUUGGCUUGGAAGCAGCCAUUCAUUUAAAGAGUGCGUAACAGCUCACUAGUCGAGGAGUCGGGCGUGGAUAAUAAUCGGGUAUNGCGUCGAAGGCGUACCGUGAGGUAUUCUGGAGCGUCUGGAAAAGCAAAUGUAGGUAUAAGUAACGAUAAAGGGGGCGGGAAACCCCCUCGCCGAAAGACUAAGGUUUCCUGAUCAACGCUAAUCGGAUCAGGGUCAGUCGGGUCCUAAGGCUCAGCCGAACGGCGAUGCCGAUGGCAGAAACGGUUAAUAUUCCGUUACUACCUUCAGGAGUGACGUGGAGACGCAGUAGUGACAGUGCCGCCAUCUGACGGAAUAGAUGGUUGAAGGGUGUAGGAGUCGAUCAUGGCAGGCAAAUCCACCAUGAGAUCCGAACCUGAUAGUAUGCCGCGUCCUUCGGGACAAGGCAAUAGUGCGCGUAAGCAUGCUGCCGAGAAAAUCCGCUAAACUUAAUCCUGCAGGUACCCGUACCGCAAACGGACACACGUAGUCGGGAUGAAUAUUCUAAGGCGCUUGAGUGAUUCACGGUUAAGGAACUAGGCAAACUGACCCUGUAACUUCGGGAUAAAGGGUCCCUACCCUUUUAUGGGAGGGCGCAGAGAAUCGGUCCAGGCAACUGUUUAACAAAAACACAGGGCUGUGCCAAAUCGAAAGAUCCAGUAUACAGCCUGACACCUGCCCGGUGCUGGAAGGUUAAGAGGAGAUGUCAUCGAUAAGAGAAGCGUUGAAUUGAAGCCCCAGUAAACGGCGGCCGUAACUAUAACGGUCCUAAGGUAGCGAAAUUCCUUGUCGGGUAAGUUCCGACCUGCACGAAUGGUGUAAUGAUCUGGACGCUGUCUCAACCGUGAGCUCAGUGAAAUUGUAGUAUCGGUGAAGAUGCCGAUUACCCGCGAUGGGACGAAAAGACCCCGUGAACCUUUACUAUAGCUUAUCAUUGAAUCUGGGCACGUGAUGUGUAGGAUAGGUCGGAGGCUUUGAAGCAGGUACGCCAGUAUUUGUGGAGCCGCUGUUGAAAUACGACCCUUUAUUUGUUUGGAUUCUAACCCGUGGAACGGGGACAUUGAUUGGUGGGUAGUUUGACUGGGGUGGUCGCCUCCAAAAGCGUAACGGAGGCUUCUAAAGGUGCCCUCCGGCCGAUUGGUAACCGGCCUUAGAGUGUAAUGGCAUAAGGGCGCUUGACUGGGAGACUAACAAGUCGAUCAGGUAGGAAACUAGAGCAUAGUGAUCCGGUGUUUCCGUAUGGAAGGGACAUCGCUCAAAGGAUAAAAGGUACUCCGGGGAUAACAGGCUGAUCCCUCCCAAGAGCUCAUAUCGACGGAGUGGUUUGGCACCUCGAUGUCGGCUCGUCACAUCCUGGGGCUGGAGAAGGUCCCAAGGGUUGGGCUGUUCGCCCAUUAAAGUGGCACGCGAGCUGGGUUCAGAACGUCGUGAGACAGUUCGGUCUCUAUCUAUCGUGGGCGUAUGAAAUUUGCGUGGCUCUGACACUAGUACGAGAGGACCGUGUUGGACAGACCUCUGGUUUGCCGGUUGUGCCGCCAGGUGCAUUGCCGGGUAUCUAAGUCUGGAUCGGAUAAGUGCUGAAAGCAUCUAAGUACGAAGCCGGCCACAAGAUUAGAUUUCUCAGGGUCGUUGU
rnacentral:rRNA from 1 species